GGGUCUGGGUUGUAAAUCCAGAGGUAAUCUUUCGAUGGUCGGGCCGCCAUCU
rnacentral:ncRNA from 12 species